rnacentral:rRNA from 1 species
CUACGGAGGGGACUAGCGUUGUUCGGAAUUACUGGGCGUAAAGAGUACGUAGGCGGUCUAUCAAGUUGGGUGUGAAAGCCCGGGGCUCAACCCCGGAACUGCACUCAAAACUGAUAAACUAGAGAUCGGAAGAGGUAAGUGGAAUUCCCAGUGUAGAGGUGAAAUUCGUAGAUAUUGGGAAGAACACCAGUGGCGAAGGCGGCUUACUGGUCCGAGACUGACGCUGAGGUACGAAAGCGUGGGGAGCAAACAGGAUUAGAAACCCCAGUAGUCC